AAGAAAAUAGUUCCAAAACAUAUUUGAAUAAGGAGGACAACGAAAUGUAUUUAUUUACAUUGAGAACUUUUGCUACAUCGGUUUUACAUUUGUUAAACCGAUGUAGCACUCUCAAAAAUUAAUCUUGUGUUUCUUGGAAAACGUAAAAUGACCCGCGGAUGGAUAUGGGGUUUCAAAAUCAAGCCUGUUCUCUUCAUCAGUCCGUUGGCGCGGAGUCUGCCUGUUGGCUGAUCUACGAAAGAAUCUCGAGGAUCUUUGUGAGGAGCCCGUGGAGCUUGGCACAGGUGGAGGAGCAGCAGAAUCUUCAGUCUACGCUAGAUUGACUGCUAGAUGGUUGCAUACACCGGGGUUUUGUCGCCUCAUUCGAGAACUCACCAGUGAAUACCUGCCUGCUCGCUCCGCCGAUUCCACUGCCUCCACUCCACCCUUCGAGCUUCCAGCUCUCUUCCAUUCCCACCUCGCAUUUACCUUCAGAACCGCUGCACACCCUCUCUCAGGAACCUGGCAUCUCACACCCACGCCUCGAAAGACCCGCACCGAAGCUUCAAGAGGAUCAGCGUGUGAAGAUCACUUUAUAAUGAUUUGAAAAAGGUUGCCAUGGCUACAGAAAUUGGAGGAGCAUCCUUAGAUGACACAAUACAACCAGCUGUGCGAUUCCUCAUGUCCCAUGAACUGGAAGUCCAGUUCAACCUUUUUGGCCAACAUUGGAAACAAGCUCUUGGACCUGCGUCUCUUUGAUGUUUUGUAUGGGGACUUAAAAGAAAUUAUCCAUCUACAGAAUCACACAAGCAUACAGCAAAGACUCUCGAAGUGGUUUACUGGAGCCCGAGUGGAAGUGGAAAUAGACUAGAGAGACUGCCAGUUCAAACUCAGGUUGGGGAGGUCUUUCAAGAUGGACAGUUUCAGUAAAGUAUGAGAGAUUUCAAAUUUAAGCAUGCAUAUGGCAUGUAGGUUAUUUUUUAAAAAUGUUUAACAAAAAUGUAUUGUGAAAGAUCUAUAUAGGUGUGUAUAUUCACAUUGUGUGUAUCAAUGUGAAUAUACGUGUAUAAAGUUAUAUAGAUAGUAUUUAGAUGUAUACAUUUAUAGACCUGUAGGAAAAUAUGUAGGUGUCUUUAUUUGUGUGCAUCUAUAGAUAUAUAUUUAUAGAUCUGUUUAUAAGUUUGUUAUAGUAAACUAGCUUCUGUUAUUUUCAAAGAUGUCGUGAAUAAUUGCAGAUUUCUUUUUGUGGCACCAUUCCCUGAGUAUUAAUGAAGUUCUAAUAAUUGCUGUAGUGAGGUAAAAAAUAACUCCUGACAA